ACCUUCAGAAGCUCUCCUGUUUACUGUUGCUUUUCUCAGGCCAUCCUUGCUGAUGUGGGAGAGCAGUGUGUCUGACCCAGCUGAGCACGUGCCUGGUGAAGAGAGCAAUGGUCCUGUACUGCAACUGAAUUUCCUUGGCUUGGAAGGCAGAAAGGAAGAAUGCUUCAUCAGGAGCUGGAGAUGUUCCUGUGGCCUGUUGUUGCCUUAAUGUCUGAAGCUUUCACAUCUCUGCCUGCACAGGCCGUGAUUUGCUGAUGAACCCACUGGUGAGCAGUGCAUCUUGAAAAGAUGAAAACAUCAAAGCACUUAAAUCAUGAAGUUUUGUUUGAACGCCAUCUUCAAGGGAUAUUCAGCUAUAGAAAAGGAAUCAGAAGAAAGAACUUCAGAAGAACUGGGAAGGAUAGACGAGAAAAAUGAAGUGAACUUUAAGAAUAUUACCUGACACACCAACUGAGGAGAUGCUGAAGAACUCUGCUUUAAGUAGUCACUCACAUGGGUGCCUGUUUACCAGUCCAGUCCACCAGUGAGCAACUUCGACCGUUUACUCCUCUUGGACCAGUGCAUCCAGCACCUGCAGCACAUCAUUUGCUGGCUGCUGAGGAAGCUAAUUGCGAUACAUCCUGUGGUUAAGUUAUCAUCUUUCUCAAUGACUGAAGAUCAUAAUUUUAUCUUUAGGAGGAGAAUGUAAGGGAGGCGGGUGUGAAAUGCUGGACACCUGCAGGAUGCCUUGGACAGAGGAUCUCUACACACAAACCUGGAAACACUGUGAGCAAUAAUGAAGGUUUUUACUUUCUUUGCCUUUCUUCUAUUUCUUCCUUCCUAGCUACCCUUCAUCCAAACAGCACAGUGCAAACAAAACCUGCAGUCAAUUUAACUGCAACGUAUCUCAAGACUUGCAGGACUGGUCUUUUAACUUCCCUACCAGAUGGCAAAGAGAUACCAUGUUAGUCUGCAUGCACUGCAUGUCCUUUGUCGAGGUUGCUGUGUUUGGCUCCUACUUUUGGUGACAGAACAAGAGGAAAUGGUUUCAAGCUCAAAGAGGAUAGAUGUAGGUUAGAUAUAAGGAAAAAAUCUUUUACAGUGAGGGCGCUGAGGCGCUGGAACAGGUUGCCCAGUGAUGUGGUGGAUGUCCCUUCCUUGGAGACUUUCAAGGCAAGGCUGGAUACCUGGGCACCCUGGUCUGACUGUGGUGUCCCCAUUCAUUGCAGGGGAGUUGGACUAGAUGGCCAUCAGAGAUCCCUUCCAGCACCACGGAUUCUAUGAUUCUAUGAUUCUAUUUGCUAGAUCCACGUGCCUCUUGCCUGGAUAUCAGCAAUGCUUUUGAUGUACAAGUCGUCCAAGGAUUGAAAAGGCCAGUGGAGCCUGAAAUCAUCUCUAGUUUGUCAAUGGCUGAAACUUGUUUUUGUGCUCUAGCAUUGUGGACACUCCAAACUAUGCCUACCCAUGCAAGUAAGGCAGAUAGCUAAGUAAUACAAGUUCAGCAGAAGAGGUUUCUACAAAUCAUUACUAUACCAUCAGGCAGGGGCAUCAAGGCUGAAUGAGUGCACUAGCUCUGGGCUGCAUGACACUGAUGGCCAGUGCAGGACUCAGCGGCCCGUGUGGGCUGUGCCCCAACAUGGCAAUGACUGGGACUUACCCCGCUCCACAGCAGGCUGGAGAGAGCCUCAAGCCAGCCUGGCUCAGGUCUGAGGCAUGGAUGGGGUUUGCUGAGGCACCUGGGGCCCAGCAGGUCCUGGGGGAGCACCCGGCCAGGACCAGAGGGGAGCUGUGGAGGGCAGAGUCUGGCACCAGGCUGCCUAACUUCAUUCUAAAGCACUAACUGUGAUUUUUAUGGGGAGAGUUUACGUGCCAGAAGUACAGCUCUUUUUAUUUAGUGAAAUAUCCUUUGGAAAACUGUAAAAUCAUGACAGGUUUUCAUAUUUAUUUUACAUUCAGCUCAGGAUUAUACACGAUCAGCUUUAGGGCCUUGUAGGAGCCAAGAGAAUAUAAAGGUUGUCAGAAAAUUGGAAGCUUUAUACCAGGCUGUUCUGAUUUAACUGGCAGACCAUUUAAAGUUGCUGAGAUGUGGGGAGAAGGAGAGCUUUUCAGAAAUGUCAGACUACUAAGAAGGGUGCUGCUGCUUCUGGCUGGCACCCAUUCUCCAAAGGACUGACCUUGGCACCGGCAGGAGAAUGGCAGCAGCAUCUUUCAGUUCUAUUUUGUUGUUAUUGUUCUGAAGUUUCCCCCUCUCUGAAUAGAUAAGUUUCCCCCGGAGAUGUAGUAGCAUCUGGGCUUUCUUGCAGCUGAGCUGAAAACCGCUUGAUUACCCGAAAUGAAGUGACAGCUUUUAGUCUUCCACAGGAACGUGUGAAUGUAUUCAGGUUCAUUUAUAACACACAGAGAAGAAAAUUGAUAUUAGAGGGGAAAAGAUAAAAAGGAAAGAGAAAAAAAAUCUUUGAGGGCUUCAUCUGCCCGGGCUGGGAAGUGGUAUAACAGUAGUAGAAUGCAUCCCCACACUUGAGUCCACGUGAGCAGAGUAGCAAUGAGGUACACACGCACGCAGGCUGGGAUCCUUGUCAACCAGUCAAAUCCUUCCUUCAUCCAGAGGUAUUUUUCUCAUUUCUAAUAAUAAUUGCUGAAACUCGGGGCUAGUGCAACACACAAAGAUAGCCUUUAAUAUACACAACGCGGAUUACGUCGAACUGUGUCCAGUAUACAAUGACCACAUUGUUUCCCUUCUUUUUUUCCACAAAAGUAUAAAAGAGCAUCAUGCUACAGACAGCACAUUUUAGUCUGAAGUGGAACUGGCAGAGGAUUUCAAUGGAAAGUUGAUUUAUUUCAAGGGAUUAUGGGAGUCCAGGGAUAAAGCUGGCACCUGGCCACAGGGAGAGCCCUUGACCUAGAAGCAGGAACAGUUUUCAAAGCUGUGCAUGUAUAUAACUGAGCAGAACGCUUUAAUUUAGUGCAGAGCAUAACCUGAAUUCCUUCUCUGAGGGAAGAUGAAAGAAACAGUUUUUACUUCUUAGUAGGACAUUAGAAGCUCUUUGCCUAUUUUACAUCUUAUUCCUCAGCAUUGCAGGAAGCGAUCGCUUGUGACAAAAAGGCCACUUUCUUCCCUUUGUAACUGGGGAAGUAAAUUGAGCUGCCACUCAUAAAGCUGACUGGAUACAGGAUUAAUUUGCUUUUCCUGAUAGAUGCAGCAAGUUAACAGGCCACUGCAGGUUACUCUCUGAAUCAACAUAUGAAACAUAAUUUCAUUGUCUUUCCUUCCCUCUUCCUCCAGGCCUUGAGCUGUAAUUAUAAAGACUUCAAAUCUCCCUAGUGACAUCAGCUGGUUAAAAAAAUUUGGAUCACAGGAGUAAUGUAACCCAGAGUCGGCUUUCUGCAGCAUUGUUCACAGUCCAGAGAAAGUCAUUCUAUACAAAACACUCUUCUGUAACUAUGGUGUAUUAAUUUUAGUGGUAAUUUUUAGGAAGCUUCACAUUGGGACCCAUCUAGUCCAUCGCUUUGACAGGAGGUACAGAGCGCUACAGCAACAGAAUUAGUCUUUAAAACGAUAUUUUGGAGCAUUUCACAAAGACCUGUAUUAAAUCAAACAUGCCAUAAUAAUUACAUUUGCUGAAACUUCCUAAGCAGUAACAGGCUUCCAGCUCAGCUGCCCUUGAAAUCAAUCAUAAACUCCAGCCGCUUAAUUAAGUGCUUUAUUCUGCAGCUCCCAGUCCGGCCAAACGUCUGCAGGCAUCUGCAGGUAUCUGACCUGAAUCAAGGACUCCGGGUUUGAGUCCUGUGUUUCCAGACAGCACGUCUGACUGAUAGAGUAAAACUGCAAAAUGCCAGAUGGUUUCAACAUAUUACAUAGCUCCCUGUAUGGGCAUCCACCAACAGCGUGUGCCUUCCUGUAAAAUUUCACAUGCUGAAGCAACUUCUUGCAGUGUGGAGACAGCAUGGCAUCUGAAAACAAGGAUUUAAUGGUACUGGUGCUGCUCAGCUUCCUGUCAACUUCUGGGCUGGGAAAAAUUUUCAGCUGUUCUAAAAUUAGAAGAUAAUGCAGUGCUGGCUAGAAUAGGGCAUAGUCUGGGCAGGCUUCUUCGUUAUCAGCUUCCUCAUUGAACUUUAAUCCCUGUUUUAUGACCGUUCAGCUGUUUUGGGUUUCGCUUGCAUCAUGGGCACAGACUGCCAGCCCUGUUUGAUUUGCAUGGUGAUUUUGCCACAGCAUUCAAAUGAGACUGAUGAGUUCACCUCACCUGCUAGUCCCAGCAAACAGGGACUACGGGACGUUUCUGUCCCAUGGUGUCCCUGGCUGAGAGCACAAGAGCUGCAGGGCAGCCAAGCGGAGGCUCUGCAAAUCUGGAUGGCUUAGGUGCCAGGCGGGGCUGCUUGGUGGUCUAGGAGGCAGGCAGUGGGCUCCUUUCACCAUGUUACCUAAAACAGUCUAAACUUUGGUCUCCUAACAGGCUAGGUAACAGGCUCUGUGGGUUUCCUGAUAACUCUCACUGAAGUUCCCUGGAUCUGUAGAGAAAUGGGAAAGAGCUGCUAGGCAGGUUGGUGUGGCUUGGAUUAGUGCUGGCACUGGGGAAGACCAGAGGAAUGCAUUUUCUUUAAAGGGUAAAAAAUUGUAAAUAUUAUUUCUUUGUGUGCUGAAAGCCUUUUGUGGCCAGGUUACCAGAGAUGCUCCAUGCGGACAGCUGAGCCUGAACUCACAUUCAGUUUGUGCUGUAACUCCCCUUCUUGGCAUUGGUACCAGUGAAUUUGUAAUCAAAUACAUGGCAGCUGCACCAGUGGGCCGACAGGGUCACUUUUAAUUCAUGUCUGUGGUUCGGUGGGGAAAAUAUAAUUAUGGAACCCCUUGGGAAAUGGCCGUCUUGAUGUGGCCAGGCAUCUUACCCAUAGCGAGUAUUUAUGCAGCAUCUUUUUACUGACAGAAAAACAAAACAAACAAACAAAAACCAACAAAAACAAGACAGAAAGAUUAGAAACACUUUGUUGCUUUUACACAGCAAGAAAACAUGUAGCUGAUUUUACUAUGUUGCCCAUAAUCACUCCGUUCCCUAUCUACUAAUUAUAGCAAAGAACAGCUGAACUCCAAUGGCAGUAGUGUUAACCGAAUAAAAUUUUAGUUACUUCAGCUUCAGUGAAUAAUUUGUCUUCCUCAACUUGAUUUACUAAUAUCUGAGUUGACAAGGCUCCCCAUUCUGAGUAUUCGUUUUAUAGUUAGAGAGGGAUUGUUUGUAAUUUACAGUUUUAAGUGUGAGCGCCAUUAUUUUGCGCUGUCAAAUGGCAUCUGUUAUCGUACAUAGCUCAUCGUAUGUCAGUGCCACAAAAAACAAAGCAAACCAGCCGUGGAAGCAGCCACUUUUAUGAGUACCCUGCCAUGUUCAACAGUGUAAAGGCAACUAUAUUUUGAAAGGGCAGGGGGCUUGUACAGUGGGUGAGCCUGUGUUAUGUGUGGCAUUCAUUCAUACCAGCCACAUGGUUCAGGUUCAACGCUGUGCUACCCAGGAUGGGGUAAAAUCCAGGGUGAGAUUUAUUGGUAGGCAUGAGGUUGUCUCCAUCACCAAGCUAUCACUGCAGGCAUCCCGAGGCUCUAACCACAGGCUUUCCAGGAGAUAUCUAUGUAUGUUCAGCCUCUGUAGUACAACUUUCAGGGAGACUGUAACUAGAAGAUCUAAAUAAGAUAUAACCAUGUGGAGGCAAACCCCAGCAAAGCUGUCUUUGCCAGUACUGACAGGAGCAAGCCAUUUCAAAGCAUGCUGGAAUGAAUGUUGUUUACGUUGUGACAAAAAAAAAACCAACAACCCCAAACCGCUUCAAUGAACCCAAGCAAGAAACCUGUCUUUUAGGGUUGGUUAUGAAUCUUUGUUUAUUUUAUGCUUGGUUAUAAGUCCUCAUUUCAUUUUGUUUGUUUGUUUACCUGCUGAGCACAGUAACACAGCAGUAAGAGAGGCUUCUCUUCACUCUCCCUUGCUGGAGAGGGCAGAGAGUCUCAGCAGUGCAGCUGCCACUGGGCAGUUCUGCUCUUGUUGGCCUAAAUGGAACUGCACGAGGCUUUUCCAAUUCUGGCAAGAGCACCUUUUUCCAGUCAUGCUAUAGCUUUGAACUCAUAGCAUCGUACUGUUGCUAUGAUUAUUCUUCUUUCUACAAAAACAUCAGUUGCACCUUCACUGAUCAAACCAAACCAUACACUGACACAUAGGAGCUUAACUGUGUUCUGCAUGGGCUUCCCAUGCAGCUAAAACUGUAGCCUAGCAAGCCUUGACAGAGCAUUUUUUUCCAGAGUUAAGCUGAUUGUCUACAGCUGUAAUAGUAGCUCAUGCUUAUCUCAGCUGAGGCUGUGGAUUCUCAUCACUGUGAAAAAUCAGGCCUUAUGUUACCUGUUAAAGACCACACAGCUCGUCGGUGAUGUGCGCUGUACUUUUUCCAGCUAUUCAUGGACUCGCAGACGUAGAAGGUUUAGAAGAACAUGAAGAAACAUCUUUAAAUGUCAUAAAGUUUAAACAACAAAGGCUUGUGCAUUGCUGGUUACAUCAAGCGUUUAUUGUUCCAUUCUACUUCGCAUUUCCUUUGAUCUAUUUUUAAGUCAUUGCAAACUUUGUUAAAACCUACAUUCCUCAGUCUCUCCCUAGAAGGGUCCUUUUGACUUGGACUCACGUUUUGAGCUAGCAGCCUAUUGCUUUUGUAUCACUAAAAUGCCAAGAUUUUAAUGGAAUGCUUUAUUAAGUUUCCAAAUGCUUUUGGCCAGUAACAAGAAAAGUUCAGCUCAGUAGUUUUAAUCUCAGAAACAUCAAAUCUGUAUUCUCUGCAUGCGUGAAGAGCCACGCAGCUCUUAAGAAGAUUAAAGCUAUAAAUUCUAACAUUACAGGGGCCAAUGCUCUCACAGUCCAGAUCAGGCCAGGUUAUUUUAUGCAAGUUAUUCCACAUGUGAAUAUCCAGGACUAUUGAUAGCCUUUGGGUUUGCCCAGCCUUUUUUUCCCCUUGUUCUCAGGUAUGCCAUUUGAAGAAGGCGAAUGCAUUGCUUUUCCUUCUGUGCUACCUCUCUGCUUUGUUUUAAUGCUAAGUGACAAAUUAUAUCAUUUUCAUUAUCAGCGCAGCUCGGAAAGCCAUCUGUUACUCAAAGACAUCAGGAUCAGCAGUCAGCCACCUCAAAAUAAGCAGCUGUAAAUCUGGAGUGCCUAUACUUUCUAAAUGGAGAGAGGCUUUUACAUUAAUCUCCUGGACUUGCUGAGUAGCUGGUACCGUGCCCAAACGCAAGUAAACUCGAUUAGUAAAAAUAGACAUGAUGUGGCAGUUCAAUACACGGCAUUUAAGCGUGUGUCCUACAGACUACAAGUGUGCAGAUCAGGCCCCAAAGAAUGAGUUUCGUAUGUGUGAAUCAUUUAUUUUUGUGACUGCCAAAUAGCUUGUGAAAAAUGAUGGAGAAGUUUUAUUUCCAGCGAGGCAGUGGUGCUGCCACUGACAGGUGUCAGUGUGGGGAUGCUCAGCUGACUGCUGCUGGGACUGUGAGUGUUCAGCCUCACUGAAUAACAGCAUUUUCAGCGGACGGUCGAGAGCCAGUAUGCAAACCAGCUUCAGCAUCCACAUGUUGUACAUAUGGAGCAUUACAAGGAAUGAACGCUUCUAAGCAGAUAAGAAACAUUUGCAACAAGCAGACACUUCUGGGAGCUUUGUUCUAUGUAGCAGAGCAAGCCUGGAGUGACAAAUUUGCAGCUUAAGCCUUAUGGGAAAGUCUGCCUCUUUACCCCGCUAGCAGCGUGGCAGGCUACACCUCUUUUUCAUGGCGAGCUGAUCAAAGGGAAGUUAUUCAAGUGCAAGUUGUGUGUAUGGCGGUGCUGGGCUGAGCAGCAGCAGUGAGGCUGGGGCGUGGUGUGCUUGACCUUCAGGGCCUUUGUCUUCGGCUCCAUUCCCUUCCUGCGUCGGCCCGGUUUCAGGCAGGAGCGCGAUGCAGAGAGGCCCUGUUUGUUUUCCGUGCAUGCUAUGAUAGGCUGCUGUUGUGUCAGGACGUGCGGCGCGCAGGAUAAAGCACCCUGCUUAUUAUAGCCUCGUUAAAAGGCCCGUCAGUAUUUCCAUUUCAAAUUCCUAUUUUCAGGGGUAGUUUACUACUGAGCCGUAACAAAUUGCAGGCAGGAAACUUGGCAGUCGCAUUCCCAGCCUAAGAGCAAAUUCUUUUACCGGCUUUAAAUAAAUAAAUUAAUUAAUAUUAAUGGCAUGCGCUCCCUGCGUGCAGAAUAGAGGAGGUUUUAUUAUUAUUUGGUUUUGUCUUAUCCUCGAAACAAAAGCUGAAGACGAAGGGGAGUAUUUACAUUCCAAAUGUCCCCGACCAGGAGUGCAGGAAGGGCCCAGGAGCAGUGCCACUGGGUGGUGGAGGCUGUCAGUGGAUGGGCACUGCUGGCAAAUGGGCUCAUCCUCCAGACAGAAAUACCAGUAUGGAAGGGACAUUAAUCAAUGCUAACCAGAGAUAAGGAGCCUAGGAGAGCAGAAGAAAGCAUCAUACAUCACAAGUAGUUACACCGCCGACAAGCUACAGCUUGAUAACCACGAUGGGAGAGAGGGAAAUUCCUUGAGGUUAGUUUAAAAAGGAACAAAAAUCAAAACAAAGCAAAAUAGCAACACCGCACAGUCGGAAGGGUUUGAAGGGGAAUAACUAAUAGCCAAAACAUUCCCCUGGUAAAUGUAUUUUUGGUAGACUGUAGCGGUCCUGACUUUUAUUAUGCAGCCGGGGUUUUAAGUCCUGAAAUAAGGAAAAAACAAUUUAUUUUUUUUUUUGUCUGUUAUCCAGACAGCAGAGAUUUCAAGCUGGUAAAUGCUCCCAGCUUACCUUUCUUUCCACUGAAGGUUAGAGCGCUAUAAGGAGUCUGGGAACUGUUGACCAUAAACUAUCUGAAUCCAGUAUGCCAUUCAAGGAAAGUACAGCCACAGGAAUAGCAGACUGAGAGAAAACAGUGUGCAGGAUCUUAAGAAACCCACUGAAAAUCUUGUCUAGUAAAAAGCAUUAAAAAUGCUAACAUUUAGGAAGAUGGGAGAAUCCUAAGAAUCAUAGAAUCACAAGGUUGGAAACGACCUGCCAGAUCAUCUGGUCCUACCGUCCUCCCAUUACCAUUGGUACCACAAGCCACUAUACCAUUUCUUGUAGCUCCUCAUCCAGACAAGAAGAAACAAGACAGUCAACAAGAAACCAGAGUAAGUAACAUUUCUUCAAAGAACAAAUAAAAGGGGCUAGGUUGCUGUUCUUGGAAUUUCUUUUGUUUUGCUUUCGGGAAAUUUUAAUUUCAUAUGUUAAAAUAAGAAAAUGUUGUCAUUUCUCCCUUGGGAAGAUCUGCCUUUUUGCCCCACUGACCAUAUGUUAUUUCUGAACAAUCAGCUGGUGUUAAAAAUCCAGUUGUUUCUUGAGAGAGAGUUAUGUGUGAUAUGUGAUAUGUGUGUCUAACAGUGGAGUGUUUGAGAGCAUCGUUCACUGUAGACACACAACCUGAGUCAACUGCCUGGGGAGGACGCUUGGCCUCAUCUAACUGCUGUGAGCAUCUAGUUGAAACAGGAAAGGGGCAUCGAUCCUCAUUUAGUGAUCUGAGGGAUUACUAGAAUAUAAACAGUGAUCUUAGGAAAUCACAGAAAAAGUUACUUCAAUACAAAGGCUUUUAUUUCAACGACAGAAAUCACGCAUGUAUUGUGAUCUCACUGGAGGGACCUUAAGUGUGCGCAAGGUUGAGAUAAAUACGUCCCGGUUCAGAUAACAGCUUUUGGAGGCCAGUCAUGACUCUUGUACAAACGGAGCCUUUCAGGACUCUCGGGAAGCCCGCAGGCUCUCCCCCUGCAGCCUUCAGGAUGAUCGCUCCAGGCAGCUCCGAGGAACCGAUCAGCUUGGCAGAGACUCAGGCUGAGCUGAAAGCUUCUGGGAGCAUUCCUGGGAACCUCUGAUACUGUGUAGAGACUCUAGUGAGAGACAACACAGGGGCUGGGAUGCUUGCCCAGAUUCUAAACUGUGCAGGAAUUUCUUUACAGCUGAUAAGUGGUGCCCAGGACCCUGCGAAGAAUAUAUGCUCUGUGAAAGUAAACCAGGUCUCAGAGGUAUCUCUGGGGUGUACAUGAGUGCAUGCUACUCUGCAGUGGGGAGCUCUGUCUCCACUGCCCCCUCCUGCCACAUGGCUUGUCUGUGUGAAUUACUGAAGGACUGCUAGCUGUUUCCCACCCUCCCUACUCAUGUCCCCAUCCCUCUUUAUGAUUUUAACCAGCAGAGGGAAACAGAGGGGUUCAAAAAUUAGAGGGCUCAGGUAUAAUAAACAACGAAGGCUCUGCUGAGUUUAUAUCCUCCUAUAUAAGCAUAAAAAGAGCUGGAGCCAUAAAGCAGCAAGGGAGAUAACACCUAGCAAAUAUGACUUCAGUUUGCAAGAUUAUAGCAGCGUAUUAAGAAAAUAAAUCCAAAAACUAAUAAUGCAUUAAAUUAAAUUAAAAAGUUAAAUUAUUAAAUUAAAAAAUCAUCAUGUAUAAAAAGACCACAGGUGUUGGUGGGGAGAGGGGGGUGGUUGUUUUAUGUGCAACUCUCAUGUUUGAUUCCUGGCAUAGCAUUACUGCUGGGAAGGGACAGCUAAAAGGAGCAGUGCUCAUAGAACAGCAGCAAAAGCACUGUGGGGUGGCAGAAGUGGUCACAGCUGGCCAUCUCUCUGGGCUAAUUUAUAUUGCAUUUACCGGCACGCAAAGGGUGUUCAUCCUUGCAGUUACUGCAGAGUAGCGAGUGUCCUGUAAAGCCACACCCUUGAUUGCCUCACCAUAACUUGUUCUUGAAGGCAUACCCUCAAGCACGUAGUAAACUUUAAGUAUGUGAUUCAGAAUCAUUACGACAACAGGACAAGUUGUACACCUUAAAGCUGACACCACGUUUACACAUCUCAGCUGACGAUGGGCCAAACAAGGGAGAGAAACGACUUAAUUUUUUCUGUCCUAACAAAUGGGAUUUAUCGUGGAAAGAAAGGGGAGAGACAGAUUAGGUGGCAUGAAAAGCACUGGGUAAUCCAACUUUUGUAGCGUUUCAGACUUCUCAGACCUGAGCUGCAUGUCAGCAUGUGAAAUAAUCCCCUGAGGUUGCUGGGAGAUGUCCUAUCGCUUCAGAUUUCUAACACCAGAGUAGGUUGGUUGACAGGGAUAGUUUGUGAAAUGGAAAGGGUUUCAGUCAGCCUGUGUUGCUCAACAAGUAUGAAAAAAAUGCAGAUAGUAUCCUGGUUUUAUUUUUGUUUAUACUGAUGCUGUUUUCUUUUGUCCUUGAUAUGUGGAAUUGUUGAUUUUCUGAGUCCUUGGCUAAGCUUUUGGAAAAGGGGAUAAUGAUGCUUGUAGUCCACUGUGUCAUCACUGUUCUGCAAGAUAACAGGUUAAUUUGUAUGGUCCCUAUUUGACCGGCAGAAGAACAGAGGCAAUGAAGGUGUGACAAAACUGAGACUGAGAUGGAGAAAGACAAAACCAGGUUAGAGUUGUGUCACACGCAAUGAAGUCUUCAAUAAAGUGGUUUGUGUAACAACAGCAUAGACUAGGCCUUCCAGCUUGGAAGAAGUACAACUAAAGGGAAGUGAGAGAGAUGUCUGGGUAGCCUGGAGAGUGUGGGUAAAGACUGGCCACUCUGACUUAGUGCAAGAGCCAGGAGCGUUGAAUAUAGCAGAAACAAACCCGUGCAAUGCAACAUAGUAUGAUGUGGAUGCAUCAGGUUUACAUGAGCUCAUGGGGAGACCGCACAAGUCUUGAAAGAUAAAUUUGUCAAGGUUUAGGCAGAAAACACAUCCCGCUUGAGAUGUCCGUGAGCUGAAAAUAGCAGAAGGCUGGGGAAUAUGUAGAAGAAGUAGUAUGUGGCUGCACUUGCCUGCUAAAGCAUCUGCUUAUGACCACUAUUGUCUUAUGGCCACUGUAUGGCCAUUAUGUCCUUUUGCACAAAGAAAAUGAGGAUAUGAGCUGUAAUAAAUCUAUAGCGAGGAACCAUUUAAGAACUAGUAUCUCUUGCAUGGGAAUAGCUUGUGAUGAGAUGUAUGGGAACUGCUGAGCCACGGCCUGAACCUCUGAUUGAUCACCUGAGGCGAGCACUGAGUCAGCCACAGGAGCACAGGUGAAGGCAAUUCAGCUGUGUGCUGGAAG